rfam:Heterocephalus glaber contig168513, whole genome shotgun sequence.
CCAAAGGCUCUUUUCAGAGCCACUUCCUUUUUCACCGAGAGAGGCU